GACGAACCGUGCGAACGUUAUUCGGAAUCACUGGGCUUAAAGCGCGUGUAGGCGGGCCGGCACGUCGAUGGUUGAAAUCCCCCCAGCUCAACUGGGGAACAGGCCUCGAUACGACCGGCCUCGAGGGGGGUAGGGGGAGCCGGAACUUCCGGUGGAGCGGUGAAAUGCGUUGAGAUCGGAAGGAACGCCCGUGGCGAAAGCGGGCUCCUGGACCCCACCUGACGCUGAGACGCGAAAGCCAGGGGAGCGAACGGG
rnacentral:rRNA from 1 species